rnacentral:lncRNA from 1 species
UGGAGCCUAAGAGGAAGGGAAUUGCUCACGGAAAUACCAAAGCCAUAUGCGCCCAGCCAAAACCCCAAAAUGGCCCAAUGUUGGAUGAAAGCAUGCUUCCCCACGUGAGUAGCUGACCUGGAGCAUGACAUGGGACUUGCUGGAGAGAUUUGGCGCUUCUUCUAGGCAUUCCAUUUGAAAUUAGGAGGGAUUUGAUUUCAGAAAAGAGGCCCAUCUUCACCUAUAAAUAAGAGGGCCUCCCCUUUGUAUGAAAUCACUUUUGAGCUUAGUGAAAUGCUGCAGAAAUUAUUUUCCAGCCCUAUUGCUCUUAAGUCACUUGUUCUCUUCACUUUCUCUACUCUUUCCUCUAGCUUCCUUCCAUAGUGGGAAGGCCUUCUGAGCUGAGGGGAUAACACACACACUCCUACCAUUUCACAACACCAAAACACCACUACAUUCAUCCAUAUCCGCUGCAUCAACACUCUUGUCCGCUACAUCGCUCUAUUUU